CAUCCAAAGCGAGAGAAGGGGAAGGGGAAGAGCCAUGUCUAGGGUUUUCCGGGGCUGCAGGACCCUCGGUGGAAUCGUAGUCGGCGGCGGCGGCUUCACCAAGCCGCUCCAUAUCUUCCGGCUAUGAGGAGGCUCCUCGGCGUCCCGGAGAUCUCGCGCGGCCGAGGCCGUGAAGAUGAUCUGAGAGUACAUCAAUGUCCGCCAGCUUCAGAUGUCAAAACUUUAUCAUGGUGACAAGUAUUGGUACAGGAGCCAAGGGCAUUCAUAUGUGAUUGUCCAUCAAACCAAAGUAAUGGCUUUUGGACUAAUAUUAAUUUACAUUGAUGAAGGUGUAUACUUGGAGUCUUCGACUUAUAUUUAUGUGCUUGAGAGAUGGGUGAGGGAAGGGGCAUUUGGAAAUCAAAGGACAGGGUUUUUAUCAGCUGAUUAUUCAACUCUUUCCCAUGCUGAAGUGUUCUUGUUUAUGUUAAAUCCUUGGUGAUAAUACUGAGGUGUCAAGUAGUGAACCAAAUGAAUGGAUUUCCUCUAUAUGGUUCAUCUUGGCCAUGAAUAUGAAUCUAGGUGGACAGA